UACAGAGGUGGCAAGCGUUGUUCGGAAUUACUGGGCGUAAAGGGCGCGUAGGCGGCCAUCUAAGUCAGACGUGAAAUCCCCAGGCUCAACCUGGGAACUGCGUCUGAUACUGGACGGCUUGAGUUUGGGAGAGGGAUGUAGAAUUCCAGGUGUAGCGGUGAAAUGCGUAGAUAUCUGGAGGAAUACCGGUGGCGAAGGCGGCAUCCUGGACCAAUACUGACGCUGAGGCGCGAAAGCUAGGGGAGCAAAC
rnacentral:rRNA from 1 species